AGGAACCGGUGCGGGUGGGUCAAACCUCUGUUUUCUUGCCUGCAGACCCUGCAGGAAGCUGUGUGAAAGGCCAGCAGCGGACCCGGCCGGCAGCUGGUGGGCCCUUCGUGGCCACGCAGAUGUCUCCUGUCACGGAAAGAAUGCAGAGCCCACCAGAAGGAGCUCACGUUGCACUUUUCCCAGUCAACCAAGCCUCUUCCCGGGCCUUGGGGAAUGUGACGGAUGGGGUUCCACCAUUCAGGCUGCAACCGGAGAAGCUGCAGACUGCCCGGCUUCGGAUCCACCGCCUGGAGGAGGGUCCCCACAGGUCAAGCGCGGGGGCUCCCCACCUGAAAAGCUCCCAGAGCCACAAGGGGCUGUGGGCUGUGCCGGCCGAGGGUCUGGAGCCUGUAAUUGGGCCAAACCACCAAGGCACUGGUUCAUCAGAAUGAAAUUUCAACCCACUGAAGCACGAGGGUCUGGCUUCCCACUGGCUGAGGCCACAGACGCGGCUCCGUGUCUUCAUGAGCCCUCACGCUCUGGGAGGCACACAGGCUCGCUUCCUUGCCACACGAAGUUCAAAUUGAGGAGGGAAAGAUGAGUUUCAGAUGCUACAAAAAAAAUCCUUACGGGCUUUUCGAGGAAACGAAGCAGCCUGCUCUUGGGCGUCCUCGGGAGAGAAGUCUGCGCUCUCCGCCCCGUCUCUGAUGGACGUGGCCGCCAUGUCUUUCAUAUUCCAAACGUGGCCUGUAAUUUCCUGCGACCUGGAAAUCCAGAUGUUCCCCGGUUUAGACUUCACUGCUCAGAACAACAGAUUUUAGUCAAAUGCCCCCUGGAACUUCUCUGGAACUUUCUUUUUAAUGGGAUGAGCAUGACGGAAAAAUGCAGAGAUUGCCAAAGUGUGGCUUAAUGAAUGAUCACGGGGUGGUGCCAGGUGUGACACCCAGGCGGUGGCCGCUAUGGAGCCAACCUUCUCACCGGGAGCUCGGAGCUCCUCCUACCUGUGUCCCCUCACCCCACCCCAGAGCGGCCCCCACCGCCUCUAAGGC
rnacentral:lncRNA from 1 species